GAAGACACAAAAUCUUCCAUCUCAUUUGACUACAUUUUAUGUGAAUUAUUAUCUUCAUCUUCUUCUUGUUUCAUCUUUUUUCCUCAAACGGAAAUGAGCAUGUCAAUUGUGCAUGAGUAUCAUGCAUAUUAAAUCAAAUAACAAUAUUUUGGUUAAUGCCUAUCUAUCAUGAGAUUAAGCACAUCAACUUAUUCCAGUAUAUACUUAACCCUUUAAUUUAUUUUAACUUCACAUAGUCCACUCGAUGACGUUUUGUAAGCUUAAAAUUAAUUAUCUCUAUUGAAGACCCUUAAUUUCUAUUGAAGAGCUCUAAUUUCUAUCAUCCCUGUAAAAUGUGGAAGAAUUUAAUAUCUUUAUAUGUAAACAUGAGGGUACUACUCUUUUAUGGAAAAACUUUGUGAACAAAUAUUAACAAAACGUUGUGGAAAUGGUUAUAAGAUUUGAUAGAAAAGUUAUUAGAGUGUUGGUCGAUAUCAAGAACAGAUUUGAGCAUAAAAGCACCUUUUCUUUCUGAAGGCAGAGGAAGUGAAGUCCUUCUCAAAAUAUUACACUUUUGGAUGCAUUGUUCUGAUGAAGAACGCAAUUUGUGAACUUAAUUUCUUAAAAGUAACUCAGAUGCACCAUAAAGACCUUUAAUUUAGGAUAAUUUGCACUAUCCUUUUUUAGUGAUAAUUUUCCGUAUUCUGAUCAUGUAUUCGUACCCAAAGGCAUUAAUGCUGGUUAGGUACCUAAUCUUCAGUUACCCUGUGUUAAUUGUUCGUGAAGUGCGGUAGUUUCUUUAAGUUCCUGAAUGCUUCAGUUAUCUUCCUAUGAGAAACUUCAUUAUCCGGUUCCUUUAGUCUUACAAGUCCAGUUUGGACGUCUCAAUGCAAGAGCUUCUUCUUACCACAAUCAUCUUUUGAUCCUAUCACUUAUGAGUAUUAAGUAUUUCACUUUUGUCGCAACCACCCUUUGCUUUUGGUCACCAGACAUUAUAUCAUGUACUGUACGUCUAGAAUAACAUAGCAUGUUAGGUGAUCUUCAACUUCUAUGUAAAUCCGUGGUAAUAAUAGUUUCUCUGUUUGUUUGCUUUAGUUUUCCUUCUGCAGCUCCUAACAUGUU
rnacentral:lncRNA from 1 species